UGCUGAGUGGUCGAAAGCUCUGGUCUUGAAAACCUGCGAACGUGCAAGCGUUCCGUGAGUUCGAGUCCCACCCUCACCGCCA
rnacentral:tRNA from 1 species